rnacentral:rRNA from 1 species
GUCGAACGGCAGCACGGGGGGGUAACCCUCUGGUGGCGAGUGGCGAACGGGUGAGUAAUGCAUCGGAACGCGUCCUGUAAUGGGGGAUAACCUAUCGAAAGGUAGGCUAAUACCGCAUACGCCCUGAGGGGGAAAGCGGGGGAUCGAAAGACCUCGUGUUAUAGGAGUGGCCGAUGUCGGAUUAGCUAGUUGGUGGGGUAAAGGCCUACCAAGGCGACGAUCCGUAGCGGGUCUGAGAGGACGGCCCGCCACACUGGGACUGAGACACGGCCCAGACUCCUACGGGAGGCAGCAGUGGGGAAUUUUGGACAAUGGGGGCAACCCUGAUCCAGCCAUGCCGCGUGAGUGAAGAAGGCCUUCGGGUUGUAAAGCUCUUUCGGCCGGGAAGAAAUCGCAUUCUCUAAUACGGGGUGUGGAUGACGGUACCGGAAGAAGAAGCACCGGCUAACUACGUGCCAGCAGCCGCGGUAAUACGUAGGGUGCGAGCGUUAAUCGGAAUUACUGGGCGUAAAGCGUGCGCAGGCGGCGCCAUAAGACAGCUGUGAAAUCCCCGGGCUUAACCUGGGAACUGCGGUUGUGACUGUGGUGCUUGAGUGCGGCAGAGGGGGGUGGAAUUCCACGUGUAGCAGUGAAAUGCGUAGAGAUGUGGAGGAACACCGAUGGCGAAGGCAGCCCCCUGGGUUGACACUGACGCUCAUGCACGAAAGCGUGGGGAGCAAACAGGAUUAGAUACCCUG